rnacentral:lncRNA from 1 species
ACACCUGGGCGCCAGCCUGCCGCUGGCCAACAGGCUGCGGAGGGUUUGGAGAACGGAAGGGGCUUUUAUGGGUGGUUGUUUGCUUGGGGUUUUUGUUUGUUGGUUGGCCGUUGUUUUGUUUUUGUUUCCACUUGUAGAGUCUGUCUGCUGCCUCGACGCCUGCAGUUCAUCUUUGCGGCCGCGUCAGCCUGACAGGAUCAUGACCUGCGGUGUUCAUCCUUCCUGUGUUCGAAUGGGGAAAGAUCGCUGGGAAUGUGCUGGGAACAAAUGGAGGCUGGACAGAGGAGGGCUGUGGGCUCCAGGUGGAUCACAGCUCAUCAGCCCUGGGCUCUCAAGCAAGUGGCUCAAGGUCUCUGCGGCCUUCUCUGCAGAAUGAGGGGCGUGUGCUGCUUUGCUGAGCAUCUGUGAAGCUGGAAAUGAACAUGGGAAAUGUCCAGCUCAGACCUCUGGGCGCCCCUCCCUCCCUCCUCCAGGGGAGAAUCAGCCUGUUAUUAGCCUUUGGGGUCACAUUCAACUCACAGAGGUGGCUGGAAAUUAUUAAGACUGAUGUUAAAAAUUCAAUCCUGUGUUUUUCCUCCUUUUUGGAGAAUAGUAUUUCAUCCCUUUUGAUGACAAACCUUUCAGUGUUCUCAAAGGAGAAAACCAAACUUAUUUUUAAAAGAGAGAAACUUGAAACAGUGUGACAUGUCUGUGUUAUCAAACCUCAAAGGUGCUACCGUGAGAUUGUUUUGGUAAACCCAUCUACGUUUCUACUCCCCCCACGUCACUGUUAGAACACGCAGCUAUUUUGACAUCUCCAUUGUGAUAUUUAUUUUAAGCCCUCAGUCGAGUUUUAAAUAUCUCAGCAGUGAACUCUGGCCUUUGGGGAAGGCAAACUAAUUAUUUCCCAAGCCGCUGCAUACAGCAAGCCCCCGGCAUUCGUUUCCUGGCAGCUUAGAA